GCCGCUACCACCCCAACCCAUGCGACUCUGGCGGCCGCCUCGUCCCACCCCAUGCGACUACGGUGAACCUCCGUUCUUCCUAGGGCUCAUCGGAUUUGGUCCUUGGAGCAGCGGAUCUGGUCGACGGGCGUGAUUUGGGGCAGCAGCUCCUUCGUUGUCGAUUCAGAGAUGAUGAAGAAGGCGCCGAAGUGGUGGAGUCAUGGAGAGUGCCCAGCCUCAGUCUGGAUCCACCUCGAUGCAACCAAGGGCGCUCGAUGGCGAUGCUCCAAUCCAAGGUGUUGUCGUUCAGUGUGGUGCCGUGAUGGCUCCCUCUCCUGGUCUCGCGCACUGAUAGCUCCUCCUCCUGGUCUCAGCGUGCUCCUAGAUCCCAGCAGACGGCAGCAGGCUAGCAGUAGCCAUGGUUGUGCCAAGCGUCCAGCACAUGCAGACGGCAGCUAGCUAGCAGCAGCCGUGGCUGUGCCAAGCAUCCAGCAUGCGGUUGGCCUGGAAAUUGGGGGUUGUGGCCUGCCCCUGGCGCUGGCCUGGGCACCUAGCACUUCCAGAGAACUGAGUUACCAUUGGGUGGUGCCUUGUGGAAAGCUUGAGAUGUAGAUACUAGCUGUCGUGCUUGACCAGGAACAAGACGAGAUGAUCGAUGGGCGCCCGAAACACAACAGGCGACCGGUGGGUGCAGGUAUGAUUUCUUAUCCACUACUACACAAUGAGGCAUUGGUCGAUGCUCAAAAUCACCAAAAAUCUCGACAUUUUUACGGUCUGGGGUUAAAGGGCCCUUUA